rnacentral:rRNA from 1 species
UAAUAAUGGAGGGUUUGAUUCUGGCUCAGAGCGAACGCUGGCAGCGUGUUUUAGGCAUGCAAGUCGAACGGCAGCGGGAUAGAGCUUGCUCUAUUGCCGGCGAGUGGCGGACGGGUGAGUAACGCGUAGGAAUCUGCCCAUAGGACUGGGAUAGCCAAGAGAAAUUUUGGGUAAUACCGGAUGAUAUCGAGAGAUCAAAGGGGCGUUUGCCUUACCUGUGGAUGAGCCUGCGUCCCAUCAGCUAGUUGGUUAGGUAAAGGCUGACCAAGGCUAAGACGGGUAGCCGGCUUGAGAGAGUGGCCGGCCACAAGGGAACUGAGACACGGUCCCUACUCCUACGGGAGGCAGCAGCCAAGAAUAUUCCGCAAUGGGGGAAACCCUGACGGAGCGACGCUGCGUGAAGGAAGAAGGCAUUCGUGUUGUAAACUUCUUUUCUAAAGGAAGAAUAAGUGUGGGAGGAAAUGCCUGCAUGAUGACGGUACUUUAGGAAUAAGCCCCGGCUAAUUACGUGCCAGCAGCCGCGGUAAUACGUAAGGGGCGAGCGUUGCUCGGAAUUACUGGGCGUAAAGGGCGUGUAGGCGGUUUAUUAGGCCGAGUGUGAAAGACCGGGGCUCAACUUCGGGAACGCGCUCGGAACCGAUAGACUAGAAUCUAGGGGAAGGUAGUGGAAUUUCCUGUGUAGCGGUGGAAUGCAUAGAUAUGGGAAGGAACACCAAAGGCGAAGGCAGCUACCUAUGCUAAGAUUGACGCUGAGGCGCGAAAGUGUGGGGAUCAAAUAGGAUUAGAUACCCUAGUAGUCCACACUGUAAACGAUGUACACUUAGAGUUGCGCGAGAGCGUGGUUCUGCAGCAAACGCGUUAAGUGUACCGCCUGAGGAGUACGGCCGCAAGGCUGAAACUCAAAGAAAUUGACGGGGGCCCGCACAAGCGGUGGAGCACGUGGAUUAAUUCGAUGCUAAGCGAAGAACCUUACCAAGGCUUGACAUAUACUGGAAUGUUGUGGAAACAUGGCAGCCUUCGGGCCAGUAUACAGGUGCUGCAUGGCUGUCGUCAGCUCGUGUCGUGAGAUGUUGGGUUAAGUCCCGCAACGAGCGCAACCCUUGUUUUCAGUUGCUACUAUUAAGUUAGAGGACUCUGGAAAGACUGCCGGCGACAAGUCGGGGGAAGGAGGGGACGACGUCAAGUCAUCAUGGCCCUUAUGUCUUGGGCUUCACACAUGCUACAAUGGUGCGGACAGCGGGAAGCGAAGUCGCGAGGCGGAGCUAAACCUCCAAACCGUACCUCAAUACGGAUUGCACUCUGAAACUCGAGUGCAUGAAGCCGGAAUCGCUAGUAAUCGCGGGUCAGCAAUACCGCGGUGAAUACGUUCUCGGGCCUUGUACACACCGCCCGUCACACCACCCGAGUUGGUUUGUCCUGAAGCGGGUUACCCCAACCGUAAGGAGGGGGCUCGUUAGGGAGAGGCUGGCGAGGGGGGUGAAGUCGUAACAAGGUUGCCGUACCGGAAGGUGCGGCAGGAUCACCUCCUUA